rfam:Stegodyphus mimosarum contig86223, whole genome shotgun sequence.
GCCUUCGUGGUGUAGUGUUCAGCACGCUUGACGCGUAACCGACAGGUCCGUGGUUCGAUUCCCUGCGAAGGCG